rnacentral:lncRNA from 1 species
UUAAUAUGUGUUCCAUACAUUGAAUAUAUUUUACACGGAGACCUCAACUGGGAUUUUUUACUGCAGCAUGUGUUGAUCAUUGUCCUACUCCAAAAUUGUCCGUGACGUACAACCUUAUUUUUUAUUUUAGAACACAGGCAAGAGUCUCAGUUGUUGUAGAUAUGGAGCUGAUGCUUGGUUGGAAGAAACUUUUGUGUUAGAUUCAGAGGCUUGCUGCUUAUAAUUGACAAACAAUAUUGCUAUGGGGGGAUUCAGUUCCAAAUCUUCCCAUGUAAGCGAUACGUCUUGCACAUCGGGUUAGCGCUGCUGAGUGUUUCUGCGGGCCUCUCCCUGACGACGCCGACGACUAGGGCUCAGCUCCCAGUUUAAUGGUACCAACCACGUGCACAACUCCUCGAUCUGUGCACAAAGUUAAGGCAAGCUCUUCGUAUGCCUCCUUGUGUUGCAUAGUCACUAGAUACAUUUGACUGGGUUUUCUCUGAUUCAAUGAUACGGUUGUCUUCAUUGCAAUAGAUGUAUCUGCACAAUCAAAGGAUGCACCUACAGCGUGGCGCAAAUACAAUGCACUGUACCACAACCAUGCCUAACAUCUACAUGCAUGGCACAUGAACGGAAUGCAUGGUGGAUAAGGCCAUGCGGGUUAAGAAGAGAAGCAUCACGUUCACUAAUUAUCUUUGUUAUUUAAAUAACCAUAUGGCAAUGCUCUUCUUAAAAGUUCCCUUGGAUUAGAAGCAUUUGCUUGCUGAUGUUCGUGAAGACGUGAUAGGAACAUCAUGUUCUUGAUCACUCAAAUAAGGUCAAUACUGUAGUUUUUUUUACAGGUGUAAUCUUCGCUAAAUUCCUACAGUCUCAUUAGUAAUUAGGUGUGGAAACAUAUGUUUUCAAUCCAGUGUGAUCUGAUAUUUUCAUUUUAAGAGAUAAAACCUUCCUAUUUGGCUUUCACUAAGGACCAAGUUAACAAGAAUAAGGAUGAUUAGGAGUUUAUCCAGUGCUAUAACUUUUAUUUUAGUUAGGUAUCAAAUCAGCUAAUAUCGUAGAAACUUGGAUAGUGUCAAGAUUGACUAGCAUGUUAAGUCAAAAACUGCACAACUAAGAUUAUUUUUUCAUUAGUCGAUAACUAAUUUGAUCAUACUGUAAACCUCUUAGAAGGGUAGCAACAUGUGCUUCCGCAUUACAUAUCCAUGUAAGUUUCUCAGGUACGUUGAAAUAUAUUUUGGUCCGCAUUCAAAUCCAAAUUGACACCAUGCUAUAUAGUUUGAGGGUAGAAUAUGUACUCCAGAGUAUGCAAGAGAAAAGGUAAUCCAUGAUGUCUAUUUGGAUAUGCAGGGAACAGAGAAAAGGUUCUGUCAUACUAACAUUUUAUGCUUAUAUGAAUUAUAUGAACGCAUAUUUAUUGGACAUAGGCAAUAGAGAGAAUAUUCUUUCAUAUUUACAUUUAUGCUGAUAAGCUACUUUAUAGUUGUUGUUACCAUGAUCGCAUCUGUUUACCACAUUUCCUGUGACUGAUAAGUUUAUGUUUUGUGGAUCACCAUGAAUGUGUGAGCAUUGAUCGUUGACAAGGUGUGUUCUUAACAUGGCAAUAUUGCAUGGGAAUGUCUCAUAAUAUCAAGUAUAAUAAGAUGGUAUUCAUGUUUUUAAUUAACAACAAAAUUUGUUUAUGACACCGCCAAAAUACGUGUAAAAAAUAGUCUAUAAGCCAAGAUUGCACAACCAAAUCCACCUAAGUAUAAUUUCUUCAGUUCUUGAUUGGCAUAGAUCAAUAUGGUAGGAUAUGCAUGAUGCAGUUGUCCACCUCCAUAGCAUAUUACUUCUCAUAUAAGCUUCUUUAUCUAUUUCAUAUCCAAUGUUUAAGGAGAUAGAAAUGUGGGCCUGGCUUGCUUCCUUUUCUUACUCACAUUGUCCUUUGACCAAACAUGCUCUAUUUACAUGAUCCUCGAUUUUGAACAUAGGAGAAAGAGAUCUCCAAUCCUUGAAAAUCACAAAUUAUUUAUGGCGUCAACCUAAGCUAUAUACAAUUAGAAGAAUGCUUAAGGUGAAGUCAAUGUUUUAAACUUUUGACAACUAAUAUAUAUGAAAGUACCUGGAUUGCACAUGUAAAAAUAAAUAGGUUGUAUUCUUUUUACAAAAUAAUAUAUAUCAUUUCACAUUGGAGACUAAAUGCCAAACAUCGUUCUUUUGGGAUAGGGAGUAAAUUGUUAAAAGUGCAUUAGAAGUAAACUGUCUAAUCUAACUAUAGCAAAACAUAUAAUGAAUAUACAACAAUAAAUCUUCUAAGCUUUAACAAAUUUUUGUGAACAUAAUUGGCCUUGCACUAAAAGUUACCAAUAAAAUCUAUAGAUUUUGGUAUUAGCAACAUUUCAAUCUCAAAUAUUAUCUUCAUUUAAAUACUUCCAUGUUUUUCCUUAUUUUUCUUACGCUACAAAAGGGUUGGUCAAGCAUCUCAAAUUAGGUCCAAAGGUUGACUCUGUUUGGUCGCUUUCUUGCUUAGUUUUCUAUAGCACUUAUUUCUUUUGUUGGUUCAGUCACAUGGUUGGAGUGCACACUAACUAUUGCUUACGAGCAACCCGAUGGUCAAGAGCUAAUAUUUCUUUCCAAUUAAGCCACCAAUUUGGUAAAAACUAAGGAAAGAAUAAAAAAAAAUCGUGUUCGUUUACAUGACAAAUUAUUUUUGUUUGUUUAAAGGGAUGGCAUCACGAUAUUCAGAUCAGAUGAAGGCUGCUAUCUGAUAAGGUUGGAAGAAACAUUGUUUACAAGGAUAUAAUAUAGAUGUUUGCUUUGUUAUCAGUUAUUACCACUAUAAUUAGAACAAGUACAACCAAUAUUAUCGAUGUAAAUGUAAUAUGGUGAAGUCAAUGCAGC